AUUCCUGCAAAGCUGGAAAUGAAGACCUGCAAAGGGUCUGAGAUCUUAUUCUGUUUGCAAGCUAACUGGUUAGUCUGCUGGCAGAACAGCAGGGCCUGGGAGAGCCAAAAUCUUCCGGGCCUGGGAGAGCCAACAUGUGGGCAUUCGUGCCAUUUGCCACAGGUCGACGCCGUGAACGCCCCACACUGCCUGCUCACGUAGCGCCUUGUGUUCCAGGAGGAGGAAUCGAAUCCCAAACUGAGGGAACUUGAAUCUUUUACCACGGAUGUAAGAAAUCUACAAAAGAUUUGUAGAUUUGGUCGGAGUCAGAUAAGAGAGGAGGAGGCCGAUGCCAGAGGCGGAGACUCUUUCUAACAAGGCUGGUUCACGGCUCAAGAAGCUCCAUCACCACAGAGUUAUCCAGAUGUUCCUGUUCUUUCUCCAAAUGUGUGUGGAGCACUGAAGGCACGGAUCCCUUUCCUGGGAUCUUCCCAAGUGUAGCUGUCCUCCCGAGCCAAGUCCGGCACACCACCCUGGGGAAUCGUGCGACCUCAGAGCCUCAUCAACUCUCAUGACUUCUGUGCCUUUAAGUGUUUCCCCAAUAAAUCUGAUUUUUACUUUA